rnacentral:misc_RNA from 1 species
AGCCUUGCACUUCACAUAUAGAUCCAGAAUCAGUUGAUCAUUUCACUCAAAAGAGUUUAUUUGGGGCUAAUCUUGUGGGCUAUGCUCUUUUCAAGGAUUUUGAACUUUAGGCCCCUGAUAAGGAUUGCUGCUUUGGCAAUGUUGAUUGACACUCAUCUCCAGAAUGCUUUGUAGGUCCAGCAAACAAAAAGCAAGUAGUAUUGACAGAGAUUGACAGGCCAUUCUAUAAUUUGUUCAUUUAUAGAACUAGUCCAGAACAUCUUUGAUGUCUGUAAUUAUACCAGGGACAAAGGGGAAAAAAGAUAACUCUUUGGCCCGCAGAGAUCUUGCCUCUCAACGUUGUAAACCUCUCAAUUCAGUAAAUGAGCACUCUAUUUUUCCUUUAAUUUAUUUUUCCCCCCUCUUAUUUUGAGGUCGUAGAAGACCAAGCUGGGGAGGGGGAAACGCUAUUAGUUGGCUCGUUGCUUCUGUAUCAAGAACUAGCUCGAAAUUAUUGCUACUGAAAAUUUUUAUAAGACUAACAUUAAAU